rnacentral:rRNA from 1 species
GACGAACGCUGGCGGCGUGCCUAAUACAUGCAAGUAGAACGAGUUGCGAACGGGUGAGUAACGCGUGGUAACCUGCCUGGUAGCGGGGGAUAACUAUUGGAAACGAUAGCUAAUACCGCAUACUACCAGAUGGAACUGCGUUGUAUUAGCGAGUAGGUGGGGUAACGGCUCACCUAGGCGACGAUCCCUAGCUGGUCUGAGAGGAUGACCAGCCACACUGGAACUGAGACACGGUCCAGACUCCUACGGGAGGCAGCAGUGGGGAAUAUUGCACAAUGGGCGCAAGCCUGAUGCAGCCAUGCCGCGUGUGUGAAGAAGGCCUUCGGGUUGUAAAGCACUUUCAGCGGGGAGGCGUUACCCGCAGAAGAAGCACCGGCUAACUACGUGCCAGCAGCCGCGGUAAUUC